AUGGCCGGAAUUGUGAACAAGGAGUUUGCUGAGUUGGCCCAGACAAGACUGAACUACCUGUCAUGGUCCUCGGACUGCGAGAUCUUUCUCGAGGGCAAAAGCCUCCUAAGGGCGAUCGAUAAGGGGACCCAGCUGGCCCCCACUAAUCCCAAGUUCGAAACUGAGAAUGCGCAGGCUCUGCAUUUUCUCCGUCAUCACCUGUCACCUACUCUGAAAGAUGAGUAUAUGGCUGAGCGCAGUGCUUCUGGCCUUUGGACCGCUCUUAAGCAGCGGUUUGAGCGGCUGAAGUACACUGUGGAGCCACGUGCAGAGGCAGAGUGGAUCCGUCUAAAGUUUGCGGACUUUAAGAUGAAGAUUGAGAAAACCCUAUCCACUUUCCACCCUGACGCGGUCCAGUCCUCACGGAACUACCGCCAGGGCAACUACACGAGGUAUUCAGAGUUGAUUGACGUCCUCCAGGCGGAGGAGGCGCAGGAUGAGGUUCUGAAAAAGAACUUUGUCGCACAACCACUUGGGGGGAGUUCUCGCCAGGAGGUGAACGCUCUCAAAGUCCGCAAGCUUCAACAGAAGAAGAGGGGCCGCAAGGGCAAGAAGAAGCAAAAGCCGGGCAAGGGAGGGCAGAGGCCUCAGGACUGCUUCCGUUGUGGCUCGGUGGAGCAUUUCUCCUGCCAGUGCCGCGCACCACAGGAGGUCAUUGAAGCAUAG
rnacentral:rRNA from 1 species